GGAAAUCAAAGAUGAUUAAUUGAUUAAUGUUUUAAAGCAGAGAUGAUUUGCUAAACAGCAAGUAAAUACCAAAUUUCAUCGCAGGUUAAUGCAUUAAAAUAUAGGUGAAGCCGAAACAUUCCCCCGGCCGUGGCAGCAUUGACAUCGCGAUGGAAAUGAUUGACAAUAUAAUACAUGUGUCGAUCAACUCCGGAUUGUGUAAUUGCGUUUUCAUAAUUAAUUAUUUAAAAAUGUAAUGUGUUGAAUCUAACGAAUUAUUUUGUGAAGCGGCAAGAUGACAAUUACGUUUUUUUUUUGAAAUUUUAAUAAUUGGUGUUGCUAUUACUGCUAUUGCUAGCACGCUGUUGUCAUUAAAUUUUGAAAGUGCAGAAUACGAAGCCGUUUUAAAAUGAUUUAUAUAAGGCUACUCGUUCCAGUGAUGCUUUCCAGUUAAAUGAGUUAAAGCAGGGAUUAGUAAUUGUGAUGACUGGUGAUAGGUAUGUGGAUAAAUGCUGAAAACAUGCUGGCAUGUGAGUGAACGCUACUGCUGCUGAUUUGUUGACUGCAUUUGAUGAUGUUCGCUAUGUUGAUAGUCGGUGGCUAUGCGAACAUAAAUUAGUGAACGAUGAGUCUUUGUAUAUGUGAAUGAUGCUGGGUUCCGUUGGAAUCGCCUUUGAACAUCGUUGGUAACUAAUAGUGUGUAAAUUGGUAACUUAAAGAUUUAUUAGUCGUUCCAAAAAGUUGAUCUUAUAUUGUUUCUGCAUUUAGGCCUUUCCUAAAGUCGCUUUGUAUCUAUAUUAUAUUUUACAAGAUUUUUCCAGUUCAUGAACAGGUAUACAUAUAAUCUAAUAAAUAACAAAAACAAAAAAAUGAAAAUAGCAAAAGAGAAUACUGGGUAGAUACAUUACUCAAUUGAUUAUACAUACUGUAAAACAAAAACAAAAAAUGAAAAGUGAAAAGCGAAAGAGAAUAAAAAAAGAGUAGUAAUAUUUUUUUGGUUUUUUUGCUUUACUACCAUAAACAAAAAUAAAAGCAAGAGGAAGCGAAAUAUUUUAAAUGAGUUAAGUAAGAGUAAAAUAAUUUUUUGUUGUUGUAUUUAACAUGGAAUGGAAUUAAAAAAAAUAAAACUAAAAAUUGUGAGAGAUAUAAGAAUACGAAUAACGUUACGUUACGUACUAAGGCAAUUAUUCUUCGUGUGCUUGCGAAAUUUCAAUUGAGUAAGUAGCCAAGCCAGGUCUGUAUAAAGAAAAGAGGCAUUGAUUUUUUAUUAAUUCACAUUCACUUUGGUUUUAAAGUUUAAUGUGAAAGGUACUAUUUCCUUUCCUUUUAAUUUUGUUCGGCAUCAGUUCCCCAUCCGUCUUGCAUAUGCCAUGACUAUAAAUAAGUCCCAAGGGCAAACUUUUGAAAAGGUUGGCCUCUAUCUCCCCCAGCCGUGCUUUUCG